rnacentral:rRNA from 1 species
AUGGUGGGCUUGCAUCGGAAAAGGGGUAACCCGGCAAAUAAGGCCCCACUUCCCCUAGCGAGAAAUUUGAUUGACAGUUUUCUCGCCGAUCCUCCUCAGGCUUCUUCUCAGGCUCAUCGAGUAAAAGGAAGAGGUCGGGGAAGAGCUGGAGGAAAGGCUAGGAGAAACCCGGUUCGGCCUCCCUCGCCACCACCUGUCGUGACACCACUUGAGGAUGAGGGGGUGGAGGACGAGCCGGUGUCUCAAUCCCCCAUGUCUGAGGAGGAGAGGGUGGAUGAGCGGUUGUCGCCGGAGGAGGAUGAGGAUCGGUCAGGGGCCCUGACCACCGACGAGGAGAAUGAUGGUUUUAUCCAAGUUGAGGAGGGUCGAACCGUGUACAUGCGUGGUUCGUCAAGGCUCCCAGAACGAGGGCUUCCUGUCGAGCAGAGGCCAUGUAUUGCUCCAUAUGGAGAAAGCGGUUGGACGACAGUUGGAGAUUCCCACGGUAAGAAGCACCGGCUCAUGAAUGGCAUCCUUGGGAUCCUCUUGAGGGAGCAUUACCCUGGCAUGGUUACUUUGCCUGGGGAGGGCAAUGUUCCGGAACCAGCACGGACUUGGUACCACUACGUAGCCUAUGAGGAUCUUGGUGUAGCCAACAACAUCGAGUUUCACAACAAAGCGGAGCGGGUCUUUGCCGAACUUUGGGAUUUCUAUAGAUGCGAGGAUGGGAACUUGGAGGAGGCACGAGCAAUCGUCAACCACCAUUGUAAGAGCUUGUGCGCAAUCUGA